CGCCCCUCCUGCCCGCGGGGGGCACGGGGCGCGCCGGCGGCGGGGCGAGGCGAGAGACCCCCGGCGGGCGGGCGAAUGGGCAGGACGGGACAGGACAGAUAAAUGUUUUUCACUGCCUGGCCAACUGUUGUAUCUGCAGUCUCCUGUGGACAGAUCGAUCAGGACAGCUGUCCUUAGGAGUUUCACCAAACUCCACCAAACAGCAUUUGCAUCUCAUCCUGGCCUGAGAAGAUGUAUUACCGACACAGCUGUGAGGAAUCCCUUUUCCUCUGUUCAGAGAGAGUCUGGUUUCAUCUUAAUCCCCUUCUCUCUCUCACCCACCCACCCAAUCUAAAUCUGUUCCUCAGUGAAGCUGCUUUUUGCACUGUGAGUGAUCUCUGCUGAAAUGAAGAUUUCAGAGGUGUCAUUGGGAACCAUGUCUAUCUUCCCAUGAAAAGGCUCUGAAAAAUGAAUGUUCGCCGCCUUCUGCUUCUCUGAUGCUUUUUAAAAUCCUUAUGUAAUAUCGUGUGACCAACUACUAUCCCAGAAAGACAUGGAGAAACUUCCUACAUGCUUCUUGCAAGAUGUGUCUUCAGCUGUGGAAAAUAUACAGAGGCCUAUGAAGUUCAUGAGUAGGAGAUGUUUACAAAAAUAGUAUCUAUAUCAGAUCUAUAGAGGCAGAAGUCAUCCUCCGGGGACUGUAGCUCCAAUAUGCUUCUCUUCUGGCCUCCUUCCACUGGCAGUUUGGAUUCCCCAGCAAAAGCUACUUCUGGCAGAGAUCUCAGUAAUUGCUUCAUAGAAGUAAUGGAUAGAUGCCAUAAGAGUUAAUUCUACAUCAAGCUGUAUUAGCUACUGAUAGGAUUUUCAUGUGGACCAAAAAGGAAAUGAGAUAGCAAAAUGACUCAUAUAGUUGUUCAGAGCUCCUUUGGUGCAAGAGACAAACAGAAAGGCUUUUUAUGAGGUUUAAAGAAUGAAAAAAGCAGUGUCAAUGUAGUUCAGAUCCUGAAAGUGGUGCAACUUACCUGACAUAAGUGAAAGGCUGGGUCCUUUCAAGCUGGGAAAAUAUUUGAGGCUGUGUGAGUCAACUGAAGAUUAGAAGGGACAACAGAUGGAGAAAGGUAGGAUAUGUUUGCAUUGCAUAUUGUGAUAUAAGCUCAUGCUUACCUACACUCACAUCUGAGCAAACGCGAUCUUUUUCCGCCUGCACCCACAGCUCAUAACUUCUAGGAGAGCAUAUUAGUUCAGUGCUGAGAUAGAACUAAUCAAUACAAAUAAUCAGUACCUCAAUAGUGUAUUUAUCAAAAAAUCCUCCUGGGUAUUUUGUCCUAUAUUGCUGAAGAGAGGUAAUAGUGAGUGCCAAAACAUUAUUUUCCUCUCUCCUUGCGUGGUGAGUUCUCGAAUUGGCCUGUGCUGCCGAAGCAGAAACAUGUGCUUUGUAUAUCCUGGCAUGAUCUAUUGGAAACUGAACAUUGACAGAGCGUCCCAAAUUAAGGACAGUCUUACUCAGAGGAAUUCAAUACUUUGAUGUUAGCCAGAUACCUUAAAAACACACUCAUUUCAAUGCAAGUUGAGAUUCUUAAAAAAUGUAUUUCUGAAACAAAUUUUAAGAAUUUCUGCAGUGGAGAGGUAUGUCAUCCCCAAACAUAAAGUGCAGGCAAACAGUGGGCUAGCUGUAAUGUAACAAUAGACAGGACUCACAUGCGUACUUUGCUGCAAGAUCCCUGUUAUGUGACCUCGCUUAAUUUGGUGGUAUGUUAUUAAAAUGUAAUCAACUUUCUGUAUAACACAUGGGUUUGACAUAUUGGUACACAAAUAAAUGUUCAAUACUCAGUGUUCGCCGUUCUUUUCUCAUCUUGAUACUUGCCUUCCAUUAGUUUUUCUUAGGAAUUUGUAGCUUCAGAGUUUUUCAGAACAUUGCUGUUUUGUAGGUUUUUACCAAGUGUAAUAUUCACUCAGAGUCUUCAUCCAUGUUUUGAUUUUUAUCCAGAGUCAUGCAGAAGUGUCGUGCUCUGUUUUGUAUAUAUUAAGAUCUCAUUUUCAUACAAUUCCCAUUUCAUGACUUUACAGAAAAUACAGAAAAGGAAUUUACCAUCUGGGACUGUGGUGGUGCAGCUUGCUCUGUUAGCAUUUCACUGAUACCUUUGUAGCACACUGACCUACUGCAUGUGAGCAUGCAUCAUCUUCCAUUUGAGCAUGGAGAACCAUUGCUCUCUGGAACUGCAGCUCAGCAUCAAAGAAUUAGCAAGUCUGCUUCAUCUGUCACAAACUUCACCCACUCAGCAACACCAUUCUGGCAAGUGUCUUUCAUGAAUCUAUUCUGCAUCCUCAUAUGUCCUUACCUUGUGUCUAAACCAGCUAAAUGCCUGCUACACACAGAAUGAGACUGAAAGUAUUCCGGGCCUGUUCUCUCAAAUUCCAGUUUUUUCCACCAUGGCCUGGGGCUUUUCCAGCAGCAAGUGAAGUGGGAAGAUAAGUGAUUUCAGAUAAGGCACUCCUUCCCACUCCCUCCCUGCCAGGAAGGGCUCAGCAGAUGCUAACAAAUGAGGAGGAAAAAAGAAAGGAAAUUCCAGAAGUGUUAAAAAAAAGGGAAUUUGUUGAACCUCUGGCAGUCACAUUGAGAAUGUCAAGGUUCCUCACCAUCAGGUAGGUAGUGCCAAGAGGGAAGGUCAGAGGAGGUGGCUUUGGAGGGUCAAAAAGGCUACUUGAUAUGCAUUAGAGAAACAGACACCACCCAUGACAUAAAUGUGAGGUGUAUAUUAGAGUGCAGACAUCUUUGAUGCAGUCUGAGUCUUAUUUUGCCUUUUUUAAAACAUUUACUUAAUUCUCUACUGAAUGUCUCAUUUCCCAACAGUGAAAUAUACAGCAGCUACUUCUGCUAAAUGUCAGUUGAAUCUAUACUAGUGGUGUUGCUCAAACUGCAUUUUUAAAAAUAAUCUGCAAGCAGUUAAUGUGCUUUUUAAAUUCUCAGUGUUAUGUAAAAAGGCACAAUAUUUUUAGCCUUACAAAAUAUCAGUUGUCAUCUCCUCACUUUCUCCCUUUGAUAUAUUGGAGAUGGGGGACUAGAAGCUCAGAGAAACUGUGGAUACUCACAGUUUUAAAAAUACAUUGUUGUUUGUUUUUUUUUUUUCCUGCAAUGUGCUUCUGGAGUUUUACAGAUCUUAAUAAAAAGAUACAAAAAUACCCUAAACCUUAAAAGCAAGUCUGAACAAAGAAAGUACUUAUUGUAAAAGCUAGAGAUUCUGUCCUCACUGCCAAAUUCUUAAGUCUGGAAUAGUGACAGUAUAAUGUAUCCUGGAGCAAAAUAUUAACUUAAACUGUUCGCUCAUGCGCUGACAGAAUGGCCCUCACAUUUUAAAAAAUCUCCAGAAAUUGCUCUCUAACAUAGAGAACACAGCUGUUGUGAGUAGGCUCUGGCAAAUCAACAUUGACUCAAACUAUUUUUGGAAUCAAGUCAGGCCUGCUGCUGUUUCUGGAAGAUGUGAAUACAUCUACCUGCUCUGCUCUGCUGUGCUGCAGUCCAUAAGGAAUAUGGUGGGUUCCAGAAUGUUUCCCUCUGUGCUUAUUUGGAGGUGACCUUUCCGUUCCCAUCUGUUUACAAGUCUUCUGAGGUCUAAUGUCUUUCCCUGCUGACAACCACCUUAAUAAGAACAUUUGGACCUUGCUUCUUUCUGUAUUCUCUACUGAAAUUUGAGGAACAGGAUCUCAGAAGAGUCUUGCUGCCUUUUCUUCUUACUGUCUUGCAACACUUGACAUCCUGAUGGUACCUUCUGAGUAGGAGGCAUGCCCUAUCAGAAGCAGCCCAGCAAAGAAGAGCAUCCUGACCUCAAACCUGUUGUGAUCAUAGCUGAUCCUUGAAAGAAAUCCACCAAUGCAAUUCAAGAGGUGGCUACUGGAAAAAUAAUGUUUAUUGUUGCACCACACACUCUGUGGAGAUACUAUGUAUCAAUACUGGACUUAAGCAAAGGCUGUUAGCUUUUAUCUGCUCUCACAGAAGGUUUGCUCUUCAGUUCUUUCUACCUUCCCAAAAUUGUUUUUAAUCUGCAGUAGGUAAGAGAACAUUUAUCAUACUUUCAUAUUUACUACUUCUUCCUCAGUUUACUGUCAGCUGGGAGAAAGAGUUGAAACUAUUGUAGAUGAGGAGAGUUCUGGUCUUGUGGUCCCUCAAGUCACAUAAAUAAUUGCUAUGUUUAGGAGAGUGGCACCAUGUAACUUGAAAUUCCAUUCCUUGCUUGGAGGUGCAGGGAUUUGGAGAAUAACAAUUUUCGAGUCAAAAGCAAACACAAAUGGAGACUCUAGGACUCUGGUAUAAUCUGGUAAGACAGCAAAGCAGGAUGCAGCAUCAGUGUAGGCUGAAAGACUAAAUGAAUUCUGAGUCUAAUGAGGGAGUCAUUCCAGCCGAAAACCAAGCCAGGGGCCUGAGAAUAUGCAACAUUAAAGAGUAAAAAAGUCUACAAUUUAGUGUCCCUCUAAUUUUAACUGCAAGCUAAGGUCAUUAAGCUGAAUUUAGGUUUUUGGCACCAAAAGGCUGAUAUCUGUCUCUGAUGUCUGGCAGUGAUAGCAUCUGAGGAGUCAGAGACAAUGAACAGCAUCAACCAGACCAGACCUUCAUCCAUAUUCUUCACAGAUGAACUGUACCCUCUACCCUUUCCUGUCCCAUUCCUCAAGAAAACUUAUUGCAGUAUGUAGUCUAGCCCUGUGGAAUGCCUCCUUUUGAAAUCUAAGAGGGAAUGGAUACAGGUAGUAUCCCAUAUGUACAUUUAAAUGUGGACCUCUAUGCAGAUUUCCUCUGUUUUGGAUCAGGACAAAAUGGGAGCAAUUUUACUGCAUUGGAGAAAUGCAGGCUGUCCAGUGUGUCCCAAAGCAAGUGGACUAUUGGAACUAAGGCGGCUCCCUCCCUGUCAGGUUAUUUCAUCUGAGGUUGCACUGCUUGCCUGUACAUUGAUUGGAUGUAAUGUGUGGCUCUUGCAAUGUCUCAAAUCUGCCAAGCUGUUACACUAAUCCAGGUUAUUUUCUAGUUUACUCCAAAAACAUUUUCAAACAAAUAUUCCUUUUUUAUCAAAUCUCAUUUUUGUUUUAUAUUCUUAAAAUAGAAGCUUGAUGACCACCUUGGGAUGAUAUAGUUUUGGAAAGCAUGGCAAUAAAUGCCAAAUAAACAGGAAAUAAAAGGAUUAUUGGUGGUAAGACCCAGCAGUCCUUUUCAUGGCAUUGAACACUACAUACCGAGGCAUUGGUAAGAAAGCUGUUGGUGGGAGGCCCAGGAAAAGCAACACUGAUCUGGAGAAAUAGCUUUGUAAAUAUCCCAUUCAUUUCUUUUGGCAACUAACACUGUCUCUGAAACCAUCAGUCAUUCUGCAGAAAAUGGUUUUAUAGGGCUUUCCUUAUAACCUGAGCCUAUUUUCAUUAGCAACCUGAUGAGAUUCUGCUGGCUUAGUUUCCAAACAUCUUUCACUACCUGCUGCUCCCAACUUUUAGCCAGCACUGUCACAGGCAUUACCUGGGCCUCAAGAAUCCCAAGGAAGAAGUAUAUUUGCAUAUGAAGCCUGAACACAGAUGACCUUCAGGCAGACUGCAGCUGGCCAAAUGCAUAUCUAAAGUGGUUUAUAUGGAAACUGAAUGCUCUGGAUAAGGUUAAAGGUUCCAAAUGACUUCUUUCAUAAGCCAUGGAAGCAAAGGGGCGGGAAGUUUGCCAAGUACCUCGGAGACAUGGUCAUCAUAUUGACCUUCAUCAAGGCAACUGAAGAAUGCCUUGGAAAUGCAUCUCCAGAAAUGUACAUCCAAGCUGAGUUUUUUAAUCACAGAAUCUUAGAAUCAUUAUGGCGGGGAAAGACCUCUAAGAUAAUGUUAUGUCCUGAGCCUUUGCCCAGGCAUCUGCAACUGACAGGCAGGGAUGGUUCACAGUUAUGGGAGGAAAAGCACUUUGCAUUGGUACAAAGUGGUGGGAGUCAACUGAUCCAGAAUUUAGGCUAUGUCUCUGUCAUGCCAGCACACCUCUGGAGAACCCAAUGUGCAAAUAGUCAUUGACUUGGUAAUACAGAGUGGAACGCUUUUGAGGACCUCUCCUGCAUUUUGAACAAUAGCUGUGGCUACUUAUGCUCUCAGUGUCACUUAGACUAGCUACAAAAGCUGGCAAUGGUGGCCUAUAAUUGCUACUACCCUAUCCUGAACAGUCAGUGCUUGAUCACUUUGCUGCAUACAGAAUGAACUUAGCACAGAUCUUCAGUAAGACCUGUCACACCCUUAUAUUUUCAACCUACUGAAAAUCAUACUCUGCUUGAAAACCAGCUCUCUCCUGUAAAUUGUCACUUGUCACAGACUCCUAGCUGCCACUGAAAGGACAGUGGCUCCACUGCAAGUCCCUGCUAAUUAUCUUGACAAUCCCAUGAAACAAAGAUUUUUGUCUGGUCUGUAGUUAUCCUUUUAUUCAUACUGUCAGUAAAUUAACUAGCAGAGGUAGUAGUAGCCACAGGUACUAAGCCUAGGAACUGCAGGAAACUUCAUAUAGCCCCACACCUUUUGCUUUUGGAAAGCAAGGAAAGCUGUACUCAAAUGGUGGUUUACUGUGCAGCUUGUGGGUAACAUUUGGCCUGGGGUUUUUUCUUUUUAAUUUUUCCCUUUUUUUUUUUUUUUGCAAGCAGACUGUUGGACCAUAUGCCUGUAUUGUCUAUUUGGUUGGUUUGUUGCUUUGCUCCAGGCCUUGGUUCCGUGAUCAUCUAUACUGUGUACAUACUAGGUUUUGCCAGGACUCUAAUCUGGAGUUAACCAAUUAUUUGGUUUUACGAGAGGGUAGUUUGCUUCAGGAUCCACACCCUAUAGAUAAUGCAGGUGGGGACUAUACCAGGCUUCAUUCUUACUGACCAGAGCAAUCUGCUUGUGCAUGCCUAAUGUACUCACAGGUCCAGCAUGCCCUGACAUAUGCAUGGCACCUCUUCGUAGGCAUCACAGCAUUAGCAGUCUCCAAAGGCUGUCUCUGCUUAUCUGGCUAUCCCAGUUCUUCUGCAGGAAAAUAAUAGCACUGGGAUAGAAAGGGGCCAUCUGUGGACUGGACUGAUUAGGAUCCUGUCCCAAGUUAAUGUUAUUGAGACUGUAGCUUGGCAUCUCUGUCCCUCCAGUACCAAGCAGAUGCACCAGAUCAUUCCCUGGGAAGCCACUACACAACUUCUAUUGUAUGACAUAGGAGGACACUCAGUAUGAUAUCAAGAGAGUUGAGAACCUGCUUUUGCCUCUCAGCUUUGUCACAGGGAGGAUGCAGGGAAAGAACCCUUUUCCCAGGAUGUGGCACCCUCCCCCCGACACAUAUACUGGAAUUAUUUCUGGGACUUUUUUUCAAAAUCCCCUAGGAUGCAACACAGUGAGCACCCAGGAGUACCUGUGUCUAUUGAUUACACUCAUUUGUAGGAAGGAGCAUGGCCUGUUUGUGCCAUGCUUACAAGACUACAUAAUGGAGUGAAGAAAGGAGACUUCUGCACGAGAGCAUGGCACUCGGGUGGAAAGAGGCUUGCACUACACACAGGAACUCUUAAAUUAGCAGGCUGACAGAUGUGUUUCUUUGAUAGUCACUUCUGACAAGCAGUAAUAUUUGCCAUAGAACAUCCAAAUAUGUCACCGCUUGUCUUGCUGGUGGCAAUGGGUGGGGCACACAGUUGAGGAAAUGGUAAGGGUGCCUUGGAAUGUGGAAAUGGCAGCUUUCCGAGCAGAAUGGGCUCUGGCGGCCGUCUAUACUCAACCACACACAUGGGCAUGCCCCAGGAGCUAUCUCGUAGUUUUCCAGAGUUGCAGGACAGGUCGUAUAGCACCUGAGGGAAGAGAUAUCCACUGGGACAGCCUGCUUGCAUCCCUCAUUCCUCGGGCACAGAGCCCAGCAGCAGUGAGCAGUAGGUGUGGGAGCGCCGUGUGAGGGGAAGCCUGUCAGUGAGCAAGCCCCAGGAGCCAUGGAAUUGCAGGCCUGCUGCCAUGCUGAGAAGCAGAUAGAGGCAGCAGCUUGGCAGGAAAUUUUGGUGGAAGGAGAUAAGGAAACAGCAGUGGCGAUUCAUCUGGGAGCUGCACCUCCUGCUCAGGAGGCCCUACUAUGGCUCUGUCUAGGAAAGAUCUGCCAGCCUUGCUGAAAAUGGAGCUUCUUCCCUGGACAGACACCACACAGUCCCCUGUUCUCCUGGGUGCCUGGCUGCCAUGACCAGUCAUGUCCUGGCAUGACCAAGGUCAUACCACAGAGAUCCUCUGCUCUCUCUUAUUUGUAUGUGUCUGAUUUGCCUCAUUAAAAAAGCAUUUCACAGGUUUGGAUUUUUUUCUAUUUACAGCUUUUGGCCUAUCCUAGUGUUUUAGUCAGGGUAAUCUAAUUGUAUGUGUGUGGGCGGAGUGGCCUUUUGAAGUAUGUACAUAUGUGCAUGUGUACCAUGCAAUACCUUCACAGUGGGAUUUGAGGGCCUUCAGUUGCAGAGAUCACAGAGGCUCUCUGUAGCUACUAAACAGCUCCCCUUCUUGGGGAGGGACACUUCUGAUGUGUGCUUUGAAGAGAACCAGCAAGGACACACUAGAUAUAUGUUCUGGGCUGGUCAUUCAGGGACUUCACAAUUCGUGACCUUUGCAAAUAGCAUUCCUGACUGUGUGCCAAUUUCACAGAUGCAGGAAGAUGACUAGGCUCAUAAGGACUGCUGUCUCUUAAGGCUCUGCUGUCCCCAGCACAGCUCUCUGUGUUUGGCACACAGCUGUCAACACACAUCCCACAAGGGGACUGAGGCACUCCAACUUGAGCAGCACUCCUGCUGUUUGCUCAGGAGAAAGGCAGCUCUGCACACGUCAUGGCCUCCCUGAAGGGUGUGAGCAGCAGCCGUGGCAGGUGACAAUCUGUGCCAGAUGUAGUCUUUCACACGGAGAACGCACUUGAGGGUGGGAGCAAGGAGCAUGCCAGGAGAGGGACGUGCUGUGGGAGCACAACAGAUCCUAGGAGACCUCUUAGCAAGGUGCAUUACAUAGAAUCAUGGAAUUGUUCAGGUUUGAAAAGAACUCUAAGUUCAUUGAAUCCAACUGAAACAUCUGUUGGUCCAUAUGGAUGCAGGCAAUUUGCUGCAGGUGGUUCUGCCCUGGACAGUGCAGGCCUAACCUCAUCUGUACCUCUCAGCCCGGGGACCAAAGCAGAUCCAUUACAUAUUCCUAACUCUUCCAGUAGGCCCAGACAUAGCAUUUAAUACAGCACGGGGAAAGCUUAUUAAGUGGUAACUUAGCAAUAAUCAGUAAAAUGUGGUUAGACUAAACAGAAGUUAUAUGACUAAAGCAUCAGAGAUUUGACACAGAUAUAAGUCAGAACUUUUCACUGCUUAGGAAAAACAUGGACUCCUGUAUGGCAUCACUAAUUGUUAACUAACUCACGCUGAGAAAAAAUGGCACUAAUUGAUCUGUUGAUAUGAAUAGAAAUUAUACAGAUACAGACAUUUUGCGUUAUUAAUAACUAAAGCACCCUGUCCAGAUUCCAGAUUGCUUUCUUCUGACAUUAAACAUAUAUAUAACACAAAGAUUCCCAUCUGCAGCUACCUGAACCCUACCUGGCUAUCAGAACAGAUUUUCUGCCCAACGAGUUUAAUUCCCUGAUAGUGUUCUGGCAAAUAAUCCUUCCUUUUGCAUUCAAGGACUUAUUUUUUCUUCUCUUACAUCUAUUUUUAUUUUCAUUUUAUAGGCAUCACUGCUAGCAUACUCCUCAUCCCAGUGCAGUAUAUGAAUUUGCCACAUCACUUCUGUGUGGCAUUAUUCUUUACUCUUUGCAUUACAUGACUGAAUUACCAGUGAAGAUUCUUUAUACCUGUUUCCAUUAAAACUUAGUCUCUCUGAGGUGAGUACCUUGAACUCUAAGCAUUUCUAAGCUUUGAUUUGAUAGCCAGUACUGGGGCUUGCAUCCUGUCAUUUGCCUCAAAGAAGCACCCAGCUAGAACUUUGUCUUCGAAAUGCCUCCAACACCUGCUUUGUAGCGGGCUGUCACUUCACCCAUUGUGUAUAGUAGCAUUCGCAUCACAAUAUCAUCCAAAUAUUAGAUCGCUUUUAGUCAUGGUAUGGGACAAACAAAGUGAUUUAUGCAGAGGGUUGCUGCUAAUUCCAGAAAUAACAAGGUCUGGCACAAGCUAAGUAUACCUGCUAAUCCAUCACUGUACCCAGACAGCUAAAUGCCUCUUCAGGACUAAUAUUUUCCUUCAACUAAUGAGAGUGACUACAACUGUGUACAUCUUAGGGCUCUAAUUUUCAUUUGCAGCGGGAAAAUGUCUACUCUUUCAAGCAAAUAAUUCCAUGAAGGAAGGUUGCUAGCAUAAGGAGAUUCUAAUUCUCUUCCUGGAGCAGUCAGAACUAACAUAGGGAAGUCAUCUUCAUUUCUCAUUACAAAGCACAAACUUUAAGUCUACUAUAUGGCAAGCAUGAAAUCAGAUUAGCUUACCCCUGUGUACUGAUAUAUUCUGAUUUGAGAAGUCUACCUUUCACAUGUGCAACCUGCAAAACACCUCUGUUUCGUAUGUGUUUCUUCAUAGUGAGGAAUUAAUACAAAAUGCCUAAGACAAUCUGCUUUUCUUAUUCCCACUUUGCUUUAUCUGCCUUCAUGAACUUUUAACAUCACCGCAUGGGUGAGACAAACAUGCAAGCAUCUGGUUUUAUGGGGAUGUGACCAGAAAAUAUGAGAGCACAGAUCUUUUUUUCAUAUUCACUCAGCACUUUUUUAAUCUCAGUCUGAGACAUUCUUUGUUUCCUCUGGAGUCAAGGCUAGCCCAGGGAACAGCAGCAGAGUUCUCUGACGUCAGGCUGAUCGUGUAAAGGGUGCUGUGAUGUUCCAGAAUUUGGUUAGCAAUUCCGCAGUGAAAUGUUUUUAGCUGUGCACUGACAUCUUUACCUGAACGAGAGGGAAAAGGACUCACUGCACUAGAAAAGUGACGGUCUUAGAAGACUCAGCACAGAGAUACCUUCCUUAUCCUAUAUAAUUACCUUGUGCGUUAAUCAUAGGAGGUAACAGAGCUGAUGCCAUGCCUAGAAAAGCAGCAGUAACUCCAGGGUUAUUUAGAACCCACAGAAGAGCUAUAUAUGCCUAAGUUUAGAGCUAUAUAUCAAUGGUUGCAGCUAUGUGAGGAGUGAUAUGCUCAGCAUUGUUGUGGGUGGCAUUUUCAUAUGGUAUGUAACACUGAAAAACCUCAGAGAGCCAAAUUUUUCCAACUGUAUCAUCUGGUUAAAUAAAAAGAUAUAACUUCUUUGUACAAGCCUUAUGUGUAAAAUUAAAGACUUGUUUACACUGGA